rfam:Solanum lycopersicum cultivar Heinz 1706 chromosome 3, whole genome shotgun sequence.
AAGCAGAUGAUGAUUUACUCGGAUUCCCCUUCAAGACUUCAUGGAUGAUGUUAAACCGAGUUACUGAUGCU